GAUGAACGCUAGCGACAGGCUUAACACAUGCAAGUCGAGGGGCAGCGGGGAAGAUAGCUUGCUAUUUUCUGCCGGCGACCGGCGCACGGGUGAGUAACACGUAUGCAACCUGCCCUUGACAGGGGAAUAAGCGGUGGAAACGCCGUCUAAUUCCGCGUAUUCCGCCCCGGAGGCAUCUCCGGGUCGGGAAAGGAGGCAACUCCGGUCAGGGAUGGGCAUGCGGCGCAUUAGCUUGACGGCGGGGUAACGGCCCACCGUGGCGACGAUGCGUAGGGGUUCUGAGAGGAAGGUCCCCCACAUUGGAACUGAGACACGGUCCAAACUCCUACGGGAGGCAGCAGUGAGGAAUAUUGGUCAAUGGGCGAGAGCCUGAACCAGCCAAGUCGCGUGAGGGAAGACGGCCCUAAGGGUUGUAAACCUCUUUUGUCGGGGAGCAAAGCGGAUCACGAGUGAUCCGAAGGAGAGUACCCGAAGAAAAAGCAUCGGCUAACUCCGUGCCAGCAGCCGCGGUAAUACGGAGGAUGCGAGCGUUAUCCGGAUUUAUUGGGUUUAAAGGGUGCGCAGGCGGAGAGUCAAGCCGGCGGUAAAAUUGCGGGGCCCAACCCCGUACCGCCGUCGGAACUGGCUCCCUUGAGUGGAUGAGAAGUAAGCGGAAUGCGUGGUGUAGCGGUGAAAUGCAUAGAUAUCACGCAGAACGCCGAUUGCGAAGGCAGCUUACCGGCAUCCAACUGACGCUCAGGCACGAAAGCGUGGGGAUCGAACAGGAUUAGAUACCCUGGUAGUCCACGCCGUAAACGAUGGAUACUAGCUGUUCGGGGCAAGUGAGCCCUGAGGGGCACAGCGAAAGCGUUAAGUAUCCCACCUGGGGAGUACGCCGGCAACGGUGAAACUCAAAGGAAUUGACGGGGGCCCGCACAAGCGGAGGAACAUGUGGUUUAAUUCGAUGAUACGCGAGGAACCUUACCCGGGCUCAAACGGCAAAGGAACACUUUUGAAAGGAGGUGGCUCUUCGGAGCCUUUGCCGAGGUGCUGCAUGGUUGUCGUCAGCUCGUGCCGUGAGGUGUCGGCUUAAGUGCCAUAACGAGCGCAACCCCCAUCGACAGUUGCCAACAGGUUAUGCUGGGAACUCUGUCGAGACUGCCGGCGCAAGCUGUGAGGAAGGCGGGGAUGACGUCAAAUCAGCACGGCCCUUACGUCCGGGGCGACACACGUGUUACAAUGGCAGGUACAGAGAGAAGCCAUGUGGCGACACAGAGCGGAACUUCAAAGCCUGUCUCAGUUCGGAUCGGAGUCUGCAACCCGACUCCGUGAAGCUGGAUUCGCUAGUAAUCGCGCAUCAGCCAUGGCGCGGUGAAUACGUUCCCGGGCC
rnacentral:rRNA from 1 species